rnacentral:rRNA from 18 species
GGCGGCAGGCCUAACACAUGCAAGUCGAACGGUAACAGGAUGUGCUUGCACAUCGCUGACGAGUGGCGGACGGGUGAGUAAUGCUUGGGAACUUGCCUUUGCGAGGGGGAUAACAGUUGGAAACGACUGCUAAUACCGCAUAAUGUCUUCGGACCAAACGGGGCUUCGGCUCCGGCGCAAAGAGAGGCCCAAGUGAGAUUAGCUAGUUGGUAAGGUAACGGCUUACCAAGGCGACGAUCUCUAGCUGUUCUGAGAGGAAGAUCAGCCACACUGGGACUGAGACACGGCCCAGACUC